rnacentral:miRNA from 1 species
UGGCAGUUCGCGAGCUUCGAGA